UCGCAACAAGUUUUGGAUUUAAAAACUUCUUUAAAAUGGCUCCAUAUACGGGGUUCGGCAACUCCUCAACAAAUCGAAACCAUUCUCAAUUUCCUGGACGAACAUAGAGAUUUAGCUCGCGGGAGGUUGAAUAGUUGAGCCCAGCCAGGACGAUAACCUGAGAGUCCACCUGUAAUAGCUGCCUAUGUACCACCACCAUUGACACAAGAAUGCCUGACUUUCACACCUUCCUCUCAACACUGUACAAGGAGACGAUCUGCCAGCACACGUGUAAGAAGCAGAUUGUAUCAAUAAGAAGAGGAGCGUGCACAGAGAUAGAGACGGUGAAAACCGCAGAGCUUGCAGGCAUAAGGGGUGAAUUGGCAGGCAUCAGUCCUAACCCUACAUAACACAAUAAAGGAAUAUCUGGAUAGCAAUUAAGAUUUUGUUAGUGUAUUGUUAGUUAUUUGUGUUUAGUAUUUCUUUGUUAUUAAUUUGUUAUGUCAGG